UAUGUGAUCGUCUCUCGCAUAUCAAUAAGCGGAGGAAAAGAAACUAACAAGGAUUCCCCUAGUAACGGCGAGUGAAGCGGGAAGAGCUCAAAUUUGAAAUCUUAAAGGGUUUCCCUUUACGAAUUGUAGUUUAAAGAAGUGUUUUCUGUUGAGGUUUUGGUAAAAGUUCUUUGGAAUAGGACAUCAUAGAGGGUGAGAAUCCCGUAUUUGACCUUUACUUUCAACUUUGUGAUACACUUUCAAAGAGUCGGAUUGUUUGGGAAUGCAGUCCAAAAUGGGUGGUAAAUUUCAUCUAAAGCUAAAUAUCGGCGAGAGACCGAUAGCGAACAAGUACCGUGAGGGAAAGAUGAAAAGAACUUUGAAAAGAGAGUUAAACAGUACGUGAAAUUGUCAAAAGGGAAGCGUUUGACACCAGUGUUGUUUUUCUGAAAAUCAAUUAAAGAACUGUUUAUGCUAAGUUGUUUAGACUUUAUCAGCUAACUGUUUAGUUUUGAGCUUUUCUUUAAUGCACUUUUCAGUUAACAAGUCAACAUCAAUUUCUUUUGCUGUAAAAAAGCUUGAGGAAGGUGGCUUGAGAUUCGUCUUAAGUGUUUAUAGCCUCUUGCCUAUGCAGUCGGAGAGAUUGAGGUCUGCAGCGUAGAUCCUUCGGGGCUAAAUGCAUUUGUGCUAAGUUAUAACAUUUUAUAGACAACUUGUUGACUAUGAUUUGUCUUGUAGCUUACUCGCUUAUGUUAUUUUACCUACGCUUAGGAUGUUGAAGUCAUCGUAUCGCGC
rnacentral:rRNA from 1 species